rnacentral:rRNA from 1 species
UAGCUAGUUGGUGAGGUAAAGGCUUACCAAGGCGACGAUCUGUAGCGGGUCUGAGAGGAUGAUCCGCCACACUGGAACUGAGACACGGUCCAGACUCCUACGGGAGGCAGCAAUGGGGAAUUUUGGACAAUGGGGGCAACCCUGAUCCAGCCAUGCCGCGUGAGUGAAGAAGGCCUUCGGGUUGUAAGCUUUUUCGGCCGGGAAGAAAUCGCAUGGGCCAAUACCCUGUGUGGAUGACGGUACCGGAAUAAGAAGCACCGGCUAACUACGUGCCAGCAGCCGCGGUAAUACGUAGGGUGCGAGCGUUAAUCGGAAUUACUGGGCGUAAAGCGUGCGCAGGCGGUUUUGUAAGACAGGCGUGAAAUCCCCGGGCUUAACCUGGGAACUGCGUUUGUGACUGCAAGGCUAGAGUACGGCAGAGGGGGGUGGAAUUCCACGUGUAGCAGUGAAAUGCGUAGAGAUGUGGAGGAACACCAAUGGCGAAGGCAGCCCCCUGGGUCGAUACUGACGCUCAUGCACGAAAGCGUGGGUAGCAAACAGGAUUAGAUACCCUGGUAGUCCACGCCCUAAACUAUGUCAACUAGGUGUUGGGUGGGUAAAACCAUUUAGUACCGUAGCUAACGCGUGAAGUUGACCGCCUGGGGAGUACGGCCGCAAGGUUAAAACUCAAAGGAAUUGACGGGGACCCGCACAAGCGGUGGAUGAUGUGGAUUAACUCGAUGCAACGCGAAAAACCUUACCUACCCUUGACAUGCCAGGAACUUGCCAGAGAUGGCUUGGUGCCCGAAAGGGAGCCUGGACACAGGUGCUGCAUGGCUGUCGUCAGCUCGUGUCGUGAGAUGUUGGGUUAAGUCCCGCAACGAGCGCAACCCUUGUCGUUAAUUGCCAUCAUUUAGUUGGGCACUUUAACGAGACUGCCGGUGACAAACCGGAGGAAGGUGGGGAUGACGUCAAGUCCUCAUGGCCCUUAUGGGUAGGGCUUCACACGUCAUACAAUGGUCGGUACAAAGGGUUGCCAAGCCGCGAGGCGGAGCCAAUCCCAGAAAGCCGAUCGUAGUCCGGAUUGCAGGCUGCAACUCGCCUGCAUGAAGUCGGAAUCGCUAGUAAUCGUGGAUCAGCAUGUCACGGUGAAUACGUUCCCGGGUCUUGUACACACCGCCCGUCACACCAUGGGAGCGGGUUCCGCCAGAAGUAGGUAGCCUAACCGCAAGGGGGGCGCUUACCACGGCGGGGUUCGUGACUGGGGUGGAGUCGUAACAAGGUAGCCGUAGGGGAACCUGCGGCCG